UGGACACGUGAGACGUUUCGUGGCAUGGAGAUAAAUAACAUCACUGGACAUUUGCUACAGAUUAAACUGAUACUAAAAGGACAGCUGGGAGACCGCUUUAAAAAGUUGGAAACCCUGUUUUUAGGGCCACUUUAUACCCUAUCCAGUUGUAAAGAUACGCCAAAGCCCUAGCUACCUGCUGUUCGGCAGUUUCACAUGUGAAAAUAAAACUUCCAACACAACAGAUCUGUACCUUCUUCCAUCUGCCUUAGCAACGUCAGCUCAAGUUUAUUCUUUCAGUAAGCUGAAUAAGGACGUGGUGAGCUGUGAUCUCUAGACAAUUCAACAUGUGUCAAGAUCCACGAUUCAUCAAAAUCUACUGGAUUAAUCAAGUUGGGAAGACUGUAGCAUGUGUGAAAACUAUAGUUUUCUGGUAUUCAAAUGCCACGAAUAGGCUCCAGAUGGUGGUUUUAGGCUGUCUAGAUAUCUAAAUAUAGCUAAACAAUUAAAACGAAAGCUGAUUAGCAAACAGACUACUGAAACAAAGUAUAUAUUGGAUAGAGAAGCCUUCCUGAAAAUGACUGGGAAUUAUUAUUUUUGACAAUGCUUGGUUCACAUACAAAGUUGACUAGCUUGUACCAUAUCUAAUGUUGGUUCAGCAAAAGACCCCUGCAGGCACCCGUAGGAUUAGGUUUCUAGCCAGGCCGCUCAGUUAAGGUCAUCUGACUCACAGUGUGUUUUUGAACUGAUGCUGAACAAAGUCGCCCAUCCCAAAUUUAAGUGAUAGUAUUAGAAAAAGGAAAGUACAUUGGGUUGUUAAAGCACCUCGGGGAGAAAUGAUGAGUUAUUUAAAAAAUUCCCAGGAUUUAUAAAAUGGUGACGAAAUUAACCUCUUCAAACGAUUCUCAGGAAAACUAAUGAUCAAGACAAAUGGCUUGAAAAUUUGGAGCUGUUUUUCAUUACCAUAUUUCUUUUAUAUUAACCAGAUAUAAAAAUGCAUGUAAAUACUC